rnacentral:misc_RNA from 1 species
GUGAGAGCAAAAAUGGUGCAGCUACACUUGCUAUCUCCCCAACUCAGUACACAAAACCCUAAACUAUUCAGUCAUCAAUCAGUACCCUUUCACCAAUCCUUUCGGCCAACUGCAUUUAACCCCAAAAUCUAUACUCUUUCUCCAACCAAAACCUCUGACACCACAAAGAGUAAGCUCGCUGUGAAGUGCCGUCAGUCGGAGUUCUAUGAGCAGCAGAGGUUCAACUCUUCCCGUUCUUCUUCCACCGCCGAUACAUCUUAUGUUCCGCAUUCGCCGUCGGCAUCUGCAGGAGUUGGAGAAUUGCCGCCUAGGGUUUUUGUUGGCCAUUCAAUAUACAAGGGGAAGGCUGCUCUUACUGUGGAACCUCGAGCACCCGAGUUCGCGGCAUUAGAUUCUGGGGCAUUUAAACUAGCCAAGGAAGGUUUUGUUCUGUUACAAUUUGCGCCUGCAGCUGGUGUACGCCAGUAUGACUGGAGCAGAAAGCAGGUGUUCUCAUUAUCAGUGACAGAAAUUGGGACUCUAAUCAGCCUUGGUGCUAGAGAUUCGUGUGAAUUUUUCCAUGAUCCUAAUAAGGGAAAAAGGUAUUAUCCAAUUUUUAUGAGCUAAAUUAGUAAAUUUCAACUUGGAGGUUGGACAUAACCUUUUGAAGUUGCUUAUCAACUCCUCUUCCAUUGCAUUUGUUUGUGUACCGACAAGGAGUUGCCACUGCUAUCUGUAAAUGCAAUUGUCAUUCAUUUAUAGCAUAAUGGUAUUGAGCCAUCAACUCAACUUGUGGAUUUUUCUGACCUGUCAACAACAGACCACCCGACACAUCUAUCAUGCAUGCAUUUGGCCUUUGAAGGCACUAAUACUUUUCAGUACAAAUUCAAUUCAUACUUGUAGUCAUAGCCACUGAGAAAAUCGACAUGUUUCUCAUCUCCUCUAUUGCUAUUGUGUUUCAUAUGAGAAUUCUAGGAUGUAUUUGUUUCCUACUAAUAUUGUGUUUCAAUGAGUAUAUGAAUUCUAACAACAUUGUUGGAAUUUUGCAGUGAAGAAGGCAAGAUCAGGAAGGUGUUGAAGGUAGAGCCACUCCCAGAUGGUUCUGGCCACUUCUUUAACCUCAGUAACCUUCUUUUCUCUAAAUUCUUGAGAGUGAAUGCCAAAUAUUUUUUAUUUGGAUGCCAUUUGUGAAUGUGAUUCAGCAAUUUAGAAUUUGGUGUCUUGAAAUAUUGGGAUUUUAAAGUAUCUGAGUACAAUAUUAGAGUGAAGUAACAUCCUUAUUCAAAUAAGAGUUUGCCUGUUUAUUUCCAUUAUAAAAUUCAAACUUCUUAAGUUUUUUGUAAUAUUUAGUGUAUGUUAGUUGAAACUGGAGUAAAGUUGUAGGAAUCUAUUUACUUUGAUUUAUUUAUCUAUCUUAAUGUUUUGACAAUGGUAAUCAUGUUUGAGUGCUUCUUAAAUCCAAAUUCAUUAAAUUUUUUAAUUUGAAUUGAAGUAGUUCUAUUAAGAAAGAAAAGAAAGUGCAAGAAAUUUAAUUAAGAGAGAAGAGAAAGCUGAUGCACAAACAAAACCUUUUUUAGUACAAAGGAUUGAAGAAUCCCAUUUUUGCAAAUGGUAAUUGAGUAUGUUAUAAGUGGCUGAUUUAAAAUUUGAAGGGAAAACUAUCUUGUUUGUCUAACUGUGUUCUGCAUGUGCUUUUUGUGGCGGCAUUCAUGAAGGUGUUCAAAACAAACUUCUGAAUAUGGAUGAAAGCAUUUACAUUCCCAUUACAAGGGCAGAAUACACCGUCCUCACCUCAGCUUUUAACGUAUGUUACAACUCUGGCUCUCUUUUUAUAUAUAUGUAUAUAUAUACGUCUGUAUGUAUGUAUGUAUCUUUUUCUGUCACACUCAUGCACCCUGCAAUUGCAAAAAGAGAUCUGGUAACAACUUCUUGCCUAUGUUAAACUGCAAUGCAAUGAUCAUGGUGAGAAUUAGCUGUGUCAUUUAAGUUGCAUCAUUGUCGCUAACCUCUGUAGUAGUAAAUGAAUUAAACAGAUAACAUGCAAAAUGAAAAAGAAUACAUGGAUAGUUGGUUAUUAAAAAAAUCAAGUUUGUUGUUACAUUGGUCUUUCAAAAUAGAGUCGAGCAUCAUCUAUUUGUAAAACCAGUGCAUAUAAACAUGAAAUUCUGUUUUUCAGUUUUCUUAGAGAACUCUUUCAAAAAAGUACCAUAAUUUUCCAUAAGUGAAAAGGACCUAAAUAAUCAUCAUCUAGCACCAAUAUGGCGAUGGUAAACUCAGUAUUUAGUGUACAUGAUGUAUUGCUUUUAGCAUGGUUUCUUAAACCUUGUUUUCUUUUAUUGAUUGGAGAAAUCUUGUUUCUUUUGUAUCAUUUUUUUUAAUUGUUUGGGUUUUGAACCUAUAACCCCCCCAACUGCAAUUACUGGCUGAUAUUAAUACCAAUGGAUUCAUCUCUAGUUGGUAUGCGAGUUGCUUUUUCUAACCCAUUGAUCUUGUUAUUUCUGUAGUAUAUCUUACCAUACCUGCUAGGUUGGCACGCCUUCGCAAAUUCUAUCAAACCAGAUGACCAUAGCCGUGUGAACAAUGCAAGUCCAAGGUAUGGGGGGGACUAUGAAUGGAGCAGGUAGUGAACAUCGCAAGGAUGCCUGCAAGAAUAGUGCCUAAGCUGUAUUUUACGUUUUUUUCCCCCCAAACUCCUUUGCAUCAAAUUCGUUGGUUAGGAGAAUCUUCCUAGAAAUUUUGAUGAAUUCCAAAUUUUCCUUAGUUGAGCAGUCGUGUGAUAGUUUGUCUUGCACAUGAUUGGUUGCCAUUUUUAAGUUUGUUAAUAAUUAAUUUUAUGAGAUG